rnacentral:sRNA from 1 species
AAAUUGCGUAAGGGAUUGUAGCGGUAUCCUUUUUAAAUUUUUGAAAUUUAAAAAGAUACAGCGAAAAGCCCGACCCGUU